UACGAGGGGGGCGAGCGUUGUUCGGAAUUGAUUGGGCGUAAAGGGUGCGUAGGCGGUUUGGUAAGUCUUGUGUGAAAUCUCCAGGCUCAACUUGGAGUCUGCACGAGAACUGCCGGGCUUGAGUGUGGGAGAGGUGAGUGGAAUUCCUGGUGUAGCGGUGAAAAUGCGUAGAUAUCAGGAGGAACACCUGUGGCGAAAGCGGCUCCACUGGACCACAACUGACGCUGAUGCACGAAAGCUAGGGGAGCAAACAGG
rnacentral:rRNA from 1 species